AACGCAUAUUGCGCCUGAGGCCUCGGCCGAGGGCAUGUCUGCCUCAGCGUCGGUGUAACCCCAUCACUCUGAAUACUGAGUGGACCUGGCAGUCCCUUUCCGGGUCUGCCGAAUUGCAGCAGUUGCCAUCAGGACCCGCCUUUGGCGUGGCCAUUCAGUUUGGUAGGUAACCCCUGGUUGCAUGCCACUGUUGGCCAUCGUGGUCUGUUGUAGCACACUGGCAGGAAAGCAAGGGCACGAGCCCUUCUCAUUUCGACCUGAGGUCAGGCAAGAUUACCCGCUGAACUUAA
rnacentral:misc_RNA from 1 species